rnacentral:rRNA from 1 species
UUUCCCUCGGGAGGCAGCAGUGGGGGAUAUUGCACAAUGGGGGGAACCCUGAUGCAGCGACGCCGCGUGGGUGAAGAAGCGCCUCGGCGCGUAAAGCCCUGUCAGCAGGGAAGAAAAUGACGGUACCUGAAGAAGAAGCCCCGGCUACCUACGUGCCAGCAGCCGCGGUAAUCCGUAGGGGGCAAGCGUUAUCCGGAUUUACUGGGUGUAAAGGGGGCGCAGACGGCGAUGCAAGCCACGAUGGCAAAC